rnacentral:misc_RNA from 1 species
GGAGGAAGUACUUUGCGGUUCAAGAGCUCCACUUGCCCAGAUGAAGAAACAUGCACCAAUAAGCAACAAUGUAAUAGUACGAGGUUUGUAUGCCCAAGCGGUCCAUGGAUCCAGCUCCUCAUCUAUAUUCAGCGGGCUAUGAUUACCAUUUUGAAUGGUAACAAGAUUCCUUUUGUUACUCUUUCUGUAACCAUUAGAUUCCAUAUGCCUGGCCUCACAAAUUU